UGGCCCGUGGGGGGAUCGAAACCAUGACUUUCGCCUUAUUAGCACGACGCUCUAACCAACUGAGCCAAUGGGCC